rnacentral:rRNA from 1 species
GUAGAUUAAAUUUUAAAACUGAAAUUAGUAAUAGUUAUGUUCUUGAAAAUUAAAGAUUUUGGCGGUAUUUUAAUCUUUUCAGAGGAACCUGUUCUAUAAUUGAUAUUCCACGAUAAAUUGAACUUAUUUUAUUAAUUUGUAUAACGUCGUAAAGAAUAUUUUAAAAGAAUGAAAAUAUUCAAUAAUUAUAAAAUUAUAAUAGAUCAGAUCAUGUUGCAGUUUAUAAAUAAGGAGAAAUGGGUUACAAUAUAUUAAUAUAAACGGAUUAGUUAAUUGAAAAUUUUUAUGAAGGUGGAUUUGAAAGUAAUUAAUUAUAUUUUUUUUUAAUGAUUAAGUUCUAAAAUGUGU